UUAUCCUACGGGACGCAGCAGUGAGGAAUAUUGGUCAAUGGGCGGGAGCCUGAACCAGCCAAGUCGCGUGAGGGAUGACGGCCCUACGGGUCGUAAACCUCUUUUGUCGGGGAGCAAGACCCGCCUCGUGCAGGCGGAGCGAGAGUACCCGAAGAAAAAGCAUCGGCUAACUCCGUGCCAGCAGCCGCGGUAAUACGGAGGAUGCGAGCGUUAUCCGGAUUUAUUGGGUUUAAAGGGUGCGCAGGCGGACCAUCAAGUCAGCGGU
rnacentral:rRNA from 1 species